GAUGAAGAACGUAGCGAAAUGCGAUAAGUAAUGUGAAUUGCGGAAUUCAGUGAAUCAUCGAAUCUUUGAACGCACCUUGCGCUCCUUGGUAUUCCGAGGAGCAUGCCUGUUUGAGUGUCAUUAAUAUAUCAACCUCUUCAGCUUAUGCUUGUUGAGUGUUGGAUGGUGGGGGUUUGCUGGUGUCUUAUGAAGUCAGCUCCUCUGAAAUGCAUUAGCGGAACAAUUUGUUGACCGUUCAUUGGUGUGAUAAAAAUAUCUACGCUAUUGACGUCAGUCAGUUCAGCUUCUAACAGUCCAUUGACUUGGACAAAUUUUUCAUUAAUGUGACCUCAAAUCAGGUAGGACUACCCGCUGAACUUAAGCAUAUCAAUAAGCGGAGGA
rnacentral:misc_RNA from 1 species